rnacentral:lncRNA from 1 species
UGAGAUUCUUUUUUACAUCUUUUAAAAGCAAGGUGUAGUACAUGCUUAUUAUAACACAAAACAUGACAAGCAAAUAGUACAGGAACCUAUUACAUAGAAAGUGAAAUUCCCUGUUUCCUUUCCUCUCUCUCCCAUCUCCCAUCAAUCCCUCUUUCUAGAAUUAACUACCAUUUAUUUGGUUUGCAUCCUUUUGGGUCUGUUCCAUGCAUUACUCAGACAUUUACAUUACAUGCAUUUAACUCUUUUUUAUACAUAUGAGCUGAUACUGAUGCAUUCUUCUGAAACCUGCUUUUUUCAUUUAAUAUAAUGUGAUAAUGUGGUCACCUCUCCAUGUCUAUGCAUACGUAUUUACUUCCUCACCUUUAGUUAAUGCAUAUUAUUCCAUAGUACAAAGGUACUUCCAGUUUUUUAACCAGUCCUCUGUUGAUGGCAUUUAGACCAUUUCCACUUUUUCACUGCCACAAACAACAUUGCAAUUACCAUCUUUUAUGUACUGAUAAUUCUGCAAAAUCACCCUCUGAAAAGAUUGUAACAAUUUACACUUCUUCAUGAUGAGCACAGUAGAAAUCUUUCCCUUGCUUCUGGAAAGCCAUUAAUCGACUCCACUUUAAGAAAUGCAGGAGGCAGAAGGUUGCCAACGCAAGCUGCAUGUCCCUUCUGUCUAUUCAGAAUGGAACUGCCUGUUCUCACUGGGCUUGGGUGUGGUCCCUUUGUCUUGCAAUAUGCAAGCUGGAGCCCAGUCCUUGGCAUGCUCUCCCAGCUGCCAGGUGUGAGGACCUGCCCUCAGUGCACAGGAGGCAGGCUCAGCUUACAUGGUGAUAAGGUCUCAUUCACAGAGAAGCAGGCUUCACUCACAUGGGAUCAGGCUUCACCCACAUGGAACCAGGCUUCACACACAUGGAAUCAGGCUUCAUUCACAUGGUAAUCAGGCUUCACUCAUAUGGGAUCAGGCUUCACUCACAUGGAACCAGGCUUCACCCACAUGGAACCAGUCUUCAUUCACAUGGUAAUCAGGCUUCAUCAUGUGGGAUCAGCCUUCAUUCACAUGAUGAUCAGGCUUCACUCACAUGAUGAUCAGGCUUCACUCACAUGAUGAUCAGGCUUCACUCACAUGGAAUCAGGCCUCAGUCACAUGGGAACCACUGUAGGAUCAGGUUUCACCCACAUGGGGUCAGGCGUGGCUCACAUGGUGAUCAGAGUUUGCAGUGUUUCUGCUUCUGCUGCCCCAUGACUAUCUCGAGAGAUCCCUUGAGUGAUGCAGGGAUCCCUAAAUGAGCACAGAGCCAUUGGUCAUCCCUAAUUUCCAUAGAACAGUCUUUCUGUCUAUCUGACAGGCUCUAGGUCCCUGGCUUUCCCUUUAGUUCCCCACUUGGACUGGAGCCCAACUGACCAGGGCUCCGCCCUCUUCUCUUUGCUCCCUCCAGCUCAGCACCAGCCUUGGUGCCAGCACCCCCACUGACAAUGAUGGUGAGAUUCUUGAGAUUCAUGCCACUCUCUCACUCCUCUACCUUCUGUUCUGGACUGGGUCAGAACUACCUCAUUCUCCAGAAUUGGGGAUUUGGACAACUGAGCAGUCCCGCUUUUAUCAUAGCUGCCCAAGCAUCUCUCUGCCAGCCUGUGCUUCCCACCUCGUGCAGUGCCAGGAACCAGGAUGUCUCAUGGCUGGCUUUAUCUCACAUUUCACUCAUUCAUUCAACAAAUCUUUAUGAUAUGCCACUGUACACCAUGCACAUUUUCUACCAAACUGUAAAUGUCCUAAAAUAACUACAUACGUAUCAAGUUCUGUGUUUCUUUUGUAAUAUGGAUGGCAAGUUAUUGAAAUUUUAUGAAUUCAUUACUAUAAACCGGAUACAGUUCAGUCCUCUUUCUGGAAUAAAUGCACUUCUAGACAGUUACCACUAUAGCACUCUAUCCCAUCCCACUGAUUGUAUAAUAAAAGUCAACAUGUAUUAAGUACUCUUCAAGUUUGGUCCAAGAGGCAUACAUGUGUUCGUUUAAAUCCCCACCAGAACAACCCUAUAAGUACCAUUGUUAUCACCAUUUUACAGGUGAUGAUCUGAAGUUAAAUGAGUCACCUGAGUUCACACAGACUGGAAGGAACAGAGCCAGGAUCCAAAUCCAGACAUUUGACAUCAGGGCUUACACUCUUUUUUUUUUUUUUUUUUUUUGAGAUGGAGUCUCGCUCUGUCACCAGGCUGAAGUGCAGUGGUGCAAUCUCGGCUCACUGCAACCUCCGCCUCCUGGGUUCAAGUGAUUCUCCUGCCUCAGCCUCCUGAGUAGCUAGGACUACAGGCACCCACCACCAUGCCUGGCUAAUUUUUGUAUUUUUAGUAGAAACUAGGUUUCACCGUGUUGGCCAGGAUGGUCUCGAUCUCUUGACCUCAGGUGAUCCACCUGCCUUGGCCUCCCAAAGUGCUGGGAUUACAGGCGUGAGCCACUGUGCCACUGCGGCCUCCCACACUGUUCAUUGUUAUGGCAUUCUGCACCUCCAUAGUGGUUCUCUACAUGAGUUCCGUGGGCAGAAAACCAAAAAACUCAUCAGGGGCAGCUUUGGGAAAGCCUGAAAGAUAAAAGGGACAGAACCUAAAAUGAGAGCAACAGUUCUGAGCUGUGACCAGUGAGAUACCUUGGCGGGCUCAGUGAUCUGCAGAUGGCAGGGCAGGGCAUUUUGUCCAGCAUUUUCCAGUGAUGCCAUGUGGUAGAUCCUCAGAGGCCACUGCAGAGGCAUGGAGAUUUCAGCUUCAUCCUGCUGCCAAGAGUCCUACUGAUGAGCAGUGGCCAUCCAGACUUACUAUUCCUUCAACUCCAGUCAUCUCUAAGCUUGUCUGCAUGGGGGCUACUAAGAGCUCACUGUGAGAACGAAGGUCAAGGACUCUGGGGUCAAAGUGUCUGGACCUAUUCACCUCCUGGCUGUACCACUUCAUAGAUGUGAGAUAAGUUACUAAACAUAUCUGUGCCUCAAUUUUCUCAGGUAUAAAAUGGGGACAAUAAUAGUAUCUUUCUCAGAGAGUUGUUGUGAGAGUUUAUCUAAUGAAAUGUGUAUAAAGUACUGAAAACGUCAAUAAAUACUAUUUUUAUGACUUCCCAAGGGCCUGCUGACCACUCUGGAACAGUUGAGGCAGUGAACAUAGAGCCAUGACCACAGACUUGCUAGGUGUUACAAGUUACUUAGUAGGUGUUACAAGGCACAUCCAGAACAGGGGAAGGUGGCAACAGAAUGGCAUGAAAAUAACUAUAUUAGUUUUCUAGGGCUGCUGAAACAAAGUCCAAAAACUGAGUGGUUUAAACCAGGGGUCCCCAACCCCCAGGCAACAGACCAGUACCACUCUAAGUUACAUGCUCCUUAUAAGAAUCUAGGCCGGGUAUGGUGGCUCACACCUAUAAUCUCAGCACUUUGGGGGGCAGAGGCAGGGGGAUCACGAGGUCAGGAAAUCGAGACCAUCCUGGCCAACAUGGUGAAACCCCAUCUCUACUGAAAAUACAAAAUUUAGCUGGGCGUGGUGGUGCAUGCCUGUAAUCCCAGCUACUCGGGAGGCUGAAGCAGGAGAAUCUCUUGAACCCGGGAGGCGGAGGUUGCGGUGAGCCAAGAUCACGCCACUGUACUCCAGCCUCAGCGACAGAGUAAGACUCUGUCUCCCAAAAAAAAAAGAAUCUAAUGCCUGAUGAUCUGUCCCUGUCUCCUAUCACCCUCAGAUGGGACCACCUAGUUGCAGGAAAACAAGCUCAGGGCUCCCACUGAUUCUACCUUAUGGUGAGUUGUAUAAUUAUAUCAUUAUAUAUUAAACGUGAUAAUAAUAGAAAUAAAGUGCAUAAUAAAUGUAAUGUGCUUGAAUCAUCUUGAAACCAUUCCCCUGCAACCCCCCAACCCUGGUGAAAAAAUUAUCUUUCAUAAAACCAGCCCGUGGUGCCAAAGAGGUUGGGGACUGCUGGUUUAAACAACAGAAAUUCAUUGUCCAUGGUUUGGAGGCUGAAAGUCUAACAUUAGGGUAUCAGUAGGUGAGUUCCUUUUCAGGGCUGUGCAGAAGGAUCUGUUCUAGGCCUGUGUCCUUGGCACGGAUGGCACCUUCUCCCUAUGUCUCUCCACAUUGUCUUCUCUUCACGCAUGUCUCUGUGUCCAAAUUUCUCCUUUUUAUAAAAACACCAGUCAUAUUGGAUUAGGCUCCACCAGAAUGACCUCAUUUUAACUUGAUUACCUCUAUAAAGAUCCUAUCUCCAAAUAAAGUCACUCUCUAAGUAGGGCACUGGGGAUGAGGACUUCAACAUACGAAUUGUCAGGUGAUGCAAUUCAACCCACAACAAUGACUAAUGAAAAUUGUUACCAUUCAUUAGGCAGCUAACACAUGUCAAGGAUAUAACUAUGACUUUUUAGCACCCACAGCAUAUCUUCGGGUUAUCUACUAAGAAAGUGGAGGUUCAGAGCAUUUAAGUGACUUUCGAAGAUUAUUAUACAGUUAGCAACUGGCAGAGCCAGGAUUUGGAUCACAACUGUCUGAUCAAACCCAUGUUCUCUAAAUGUCAUUUAACAGUGUCCUUUUAGUUGGUUCCAACUAGCCAGUGACAGGAUCGUUCUUGUGAAGGUGCCCAUCUCUGGAUCUCCUCUGUUCACAUGCAGAUCCACUCGGACUCCAGAAGAUCGUAGACUCUCAAAGCAGGCAGGACCCUUUGAUGUCAUCCUUUCCACCCCCUACUUUACGGAUGAGGAAACAGAGUCCCUAGGAGACUAGUUACUUGCAGGAGGUCACAUAGGAAGUGGGGAUGUUCUGAAUCUGCUCUCUACCCAACACUGCCUCUGCUGGAAGAAAUUUUGAACUUUGCUGGUGGAUCUAAUUUAUUUGGCAAAUGGUUUCACAGAUUUAAGCCAUUUAUACAAAAUCAUGAGAUUAAUCAUUAUUAAUCAAACACAAUCUGACACCGUAUGAAAUAGGCAAGGGAUAGGUCUGUUAUGCAAGCAUCCUGC